ensembl:lncRNA
CACAAACUGUUAGAAGAACUGGUGGCAUCGAGGAAGGCCUGAUGCUGCCAUUUGACUGGGGUGGAAGAGUUUGCAGGCUGUCUGUUGUGAGGAAAUCCCUGCGGCUGUGGUUCAGCACCUGUAGUGGUGGCUAAUUUUUGCCUUUUUAAGGAAUUUCUUUUGGACGUGACUUGUUCUUGCUCUGGUUUAAUCAUACCAGCUCUCUGUAGGAAAAAGAAAGAGCAGUGGAAAAGCCAUUCUCAUUCUGCAAGACAAACCAUCGACGUUGCGCUUGUGUGGGCAAAUGGACUGCCUGAGUUACUCUGGAGCAGUGAUGGCCUGAUGUCUUUUUGCUAUCUCUGCCUGCAGCAGUGUUGUAGUGCUUUUGUUGAAGGCCCUCAUACCAAUGAUGAAGUGGGAUGUGAUAUCCUGCCAACCUCAUUGUAGCUGCCUGGCACCUGGGCUCUCCCAGCCAUCCCCUUGGUCUGGCCUGCAACCCCAAACUGGUGGAUGUAGGAUCACUGCAUGACUGAGCUUGAGGACGGCUUCAGAAGUAGAGGAACCUCUCUCUUGUGGAGGUGACUGGCACAGGGACAUCCCAGGACUCUUGUUGAGACUGGGGAAAUCUAGCAAGCAGAAUGGACAGCAUCCUCCAGGCUGGAAGGGUUAACAGCAUUGCCGCUUCUCCUCCUCUGUCUUUACUGUUAUCUUGAUUUACAUGUUUGAAAGUAGGGAUGAUUAAUAAUCCACAAACCUUAAUCCUGGAAGGAGAGCUAAGGCACUUAACAUACCAGAGCAUACUACGACGCAACAAAUAAGAAAUGAUGAACAGGACUAACAUUUCUGCUCCUUCCUGAAUAGCGCAAGAGCAACGUCAGAGGUUCCCUGCACCUCCUGGCCCCCAGUAGUGGGGCGAAGACUACCAAAUGGGUUCUACAUCAAAAGGCCACUGUUAAUUCUUUCUGCUGCAGGUACCAUGGUGAUGAGUCUGGCACAAGUGCCUGGAAAUAUAAAUUUAGCUAGCAUGCUGUUCCUGGAGCUGGAUAUAAAUGUCUUCAUUCCAUGUGUGCACUGUUACUCCACAGAUAAGGAAAAAGUGACCUAUAAAGCCUUCCCUGACCUAAGAAGUCAAUUAAAGUACAAAAAAAGAGCAGCUGAGUACAGCAGGGGAAUUCAUCCGCUGUUUAUCAGCUUGGACCUCAAUGCUCACCCACUCAGCACUGGAGUAAGUAUAGAGGGAGGACAAUACAGCCACAGAAGAGAGAAACAAAACCAGGAAAGUAAAAUGGAGGGAAUUCAUCUCUGGGGGAAUUGCACAGUGAAUGCUGAGUUACAUCGGUUUCCAAUAUCUUUUCAGUUCAUAAAGACUGAUCACUACCAGCUUUGUUCUGCGGCCUCUGGUGAAAAAUAAAGGAUCCACUUCAUCCAGAAAAUACUUUGGAGGCAAAGAAGAGGGGAAGUCCUAGUGACCCAGCAGAAACACAGAAUAAAAUCAAAUGGAGACAUGAGCAGCUUAGCCAACCUUUUGCAUGCAGUGGAAUUAAACAUGAAAAGGUAAUUUACAUCAUCUUUAUGUGAGAAAAGAAUAGUGUUACCUUUUUUGUGCAAAGUGGGUAGAAGGGAACUGGCAAGGGUUAUCUUUGACCUACUUCUUUCGUGA